UUUCCGUAGGUGAACCUGCGGAAGGACCAUUAGUGAACGCCCUCACGGGCUUAUAACUAUUCCAAACCUCUGUGAACCGUGCCCUUCGGGGCUAUUUUACAAACAUGGUGUAAUGAACGUCAUAUAUCAUAACAAAACAAAACUUUCAACAACGGAUCUCUUGGCUCUCGCAUCGAUGAAGAACGCAGCGAAAUGCGAUAAGUAAUGUGAAUUGCAGAAUUCAGUGAAUCAUCGAAUCUUUGAACGCACCUUGCGCCCUCUGGUAUUCCGGAGGGCAUGCCUGUUUGAGUGUCAUGUAGACUCAAUCCCUCGGGUUUCCGAGGAGAUUGGACUUGGGUGUUGCCGCUCUGCCGGCUCGCCUUAAAAGACUUAGCGGGAUAGCACCGUAGUCGGCGUAAUAAGUUUCGUCGGUGAAGGUUGUGAUGACUGCUUACAAUCGCCCUUGGGCAAUUUUUGACUCUGACCUCAAAUCAGGUAGGACUACCCGCUGAACUUAAGCAUAUCAAUAAGCGGAGGAAA
rnacentral:rRNA from 1 species